UCUGGAAAGGCGUGCGAUACAGGGUGACAGCCCCGUACACAAAAAUGCACAUGCUGUGAGCUCGAUGAGUAGGGCGGGACACGUGGUAUCCUGUCUGAAUAUGGGGGGACCAUCCUCCAAGGCUAAAUACUCCUGACUGACCGAUAGUGAACCAGUACCGUGAGGGAAAGGCGAAAAGAACCCCGGCGAGGGGAGUGAAAAAGAACCUGAAACCGUGUACGUACAAGCAGUGGGAGCACAGAGCAAUCUGUGUGACUGCGUACCUUUUGUAUAAUGGGUCAGCGACUUAUAUUCUGUAGCAAGGUUAACCGAAUAGGGGAGCCGAAGGGAAACCGAGUCUUAACUGGGCGUUAAGUUGCAGGGUAUAGACCCGAAACCCGGUGAUCUAGCCAUGGGCAGGUUGAAGGUUGGGUAACACUAACUGGAGGACCGAACCGACUAAUGUUGAAAAAUUAGCGGAUGACUUGUGGCUGGGGGUGAAAGGCCAAUCAAACCGGGAGAUAGCUGGUUCUCCCCGAAAGCUAUUUAGGUAGCGCCUCGUGAAUUCAUCUCCGGGGGUAGAGCACUGUUUCGGCAAGGGGGUCAUCCCGACUUACCAACCCGAUGCAAACUGCGAAUACCGGAGAAUGUUAUCACGGGAGACACACGGCGGGUGCUAACGUCCGUCGUGAAGAGGGAAACAACCCAGACCGCCAGCUAAGGUCCCAAAGUCAUGGUUAAGUGGGAAACGAUGUGGGAAGGCCCAGACAGCCAGGAUGUUGGCUUAGAAGCAGCCAUCAUUUAAAGAAAGCGUAAUAGCUCACUGGUCGAGUCGGCCUGCGCGGAAGAUGUAACGGGGCUAAACCAUG
rnacentral:rRNA from 1 species